rnacentral:rRNA from 1 species
UUGACCUCGGAUCAGGUAGGGAUACCCGCUGAACUUAAGCAUAUCAAUAAGCGGAGGAAAAGAAACCAACAGGGAUUGCCUCAGUAACGGCGAGUGAAGCGGCAAGAGCUCAAAUUUGAAAGCUGGCUCCUUCGGGGUCCGCAUUGUAAUUUGCAGAGGAUGCUUCGGGAGCGGUCCCCAUCUAAGUGCCCUGGAACGGGCCGUCAUAGAGGGUGAGAAUCCCGUAUGGGAUGGGGUGCCCGCGACCAUGUGAAGCUCCUUCGACGAGUCGAGUUGUUUGGGAAUGCAGCUCUAAAUGGGUGGUAAAUUUCAUCUAAAGCUAAAUAUUGGCCGGAGACCGAUAGCGCACAAGUAGAGUGAUCGAAAGAUGAAAAGCACUUUGAAAAGAGAGUUAAAAAGCACGUGAAAUUGUUGAAAGGGAAGCGCUUGCGACCAGACUCGCCCGCGGGGUUCAGCCGGUAUUCGUACCGGUGUACUUCCCCGUGGGCGGGCCAGCGUCGGUUUGGGCGGCCGGUCAAAGGCCCUCGGAAUGUAACGCCUCUCGGGGCGUCUUAUAGCCGAGGGUGCCAUGCGGCCAGCCCGGACCGAGGAACGCGCUUCGGCACGGACGCUGGCAUAAUGGUCGUAAGCGACC